UUCCUUCCUUCAUUCCUUCCAUCCUUCCUUCCUUCCUUCAUUCCUUCCUUCAUUCAUUCCUUCCUUUAUUCCUUCCUUCAUUCAUUCCUUCCUUCAUUUCCCUGGUCCUGAUGUGGAGCCUAUCCCGGGAACACUGGGUGGGACACCAGUCCAUCGCAGUGCACCAUGCACACACACACACACCUUCACACUCAUUUACACCCAAGGGCAAUUUAGUGUAACCAAUCCACACUGUAAAACCGGAUAAGUUAAUUUAACUUUUUAUAUUUAAGUGUAUUUGGCUUAAAGAAAUUGAUUUGUCAACUUUAAAAUUUUGAGGUAAUUAGUUUCCUUGAAUUUUUUUGAGUUAAAUGAAUUUAUCUGGUUUUACAGUGCACCUACUGAUUUUUUUGUUUUUUUUUGGGGGGGGAGGAAACCAGAGAACCUGGAGGAACCUCAGACAGGCACAGGGAGAAGACGUGGAACUCCACACACUCAGCAACCCGAGCUCAGAUUAGACCCGAGGAACCCCGGAGCCAUGAGGCAGCAACGCUAACUGUUGUGCCCCAAUGAUUAUAGUUUAUAACUAUAAAAGUAAGAUGCAUCAUAUUUGUUAUCCGUUUAUUGUUACAUUUCAUCUCGUAAACGGUCCGAAUAACAAAUAACGAACUUUGUGGUGGUAAAAGUAACUUCAUCACUCCACCCUGGUCACGCUGUAUUUUACUACACAGUGUUUUAUUCUUUUUUCCUGAAGAAACUUGCACUUGAGCUAUGGGCCUUGCUCAAGAGCCCAGAAGUGACUGCCUGAACUCACAACCAUCUGAUCAAUAGCCAAAAGCUGUACCUCUGGAGCCACCAUGUCCCCACUUGUACAAAAACGUGAUUGGUAUUACACUUUGUAGCAACUGCUAUGUUCAAGAAAGAAAAAACCCCAAAAAACAUAGUAACUCCUCCAAUCGCUACUGGGUGUGCUAACUAAUUUGCAGAGCUCCAUGUUUAAAGUUCGAGAUCAUCUGCUUUGAAACCAUGUCUUUUCUGCACAGUACUUCUACCAAAUAUCACUUCCCCAAAUCAUUUUCUGGGUUAGUCAUCGCCAAUCUCCACUGUGGAAGGGUUUGGUGAAGGCCUCCUCUGAGACUCAUGGAACCAACCACUGGCUCUAUUUCAAUACAGGAUAGUGCUUACAGUAUCCUGCUCUCUUCCCAUGAUCGGGUCGAGCUCAGCGAUGAGAGCGAAGGUACCCAGAUGACGACAAGAGCACACAGUGUGAGUGCUGUUUUUCUCUGUGUUCUUACAACCACCUUUGAACCACUCAGUUUCCUUCCAGUACACACAGGAGAGAAUGCCUUCAGGGUCCAACUCCUAGUGCGGAAGAAGAGGGAAUCAAAUCAAAUCUGAAAACUGGUUGUGUUUGUCUUAUUGAGAAAAAAAAGAGAGGCUAGGGGAAGGAAUGGCUGCGAUAACGAAAACAGUGUGUCCUCAAAUAUGGUCCAAAUGCAGCUAUCUGGGAU
ensembl:lncRNA